CGGCGGACGGGUGAGUAACACGUGGGUAACCUACCUAUAAGACUGGGACAACUUCGGGAAACCGGAGCUAAUACCGGAUAAUAUGUUGAACCGCAUGGUUCAAUAGUGAAAGAUGGUUUUGCUAUCACUUAUAGAUGGACCUGCGCCGUAUUAGCUAGUUGGUGAGGUAACGGCUCACCAAGGCAACGAUACGUAGCCGACCUGAGAGGGUGAUCGGCCACACCGGAACUGAGACACGGUCCAG
rnacentral:rRNA from 1 species